UACGUAGGGAGCAAGCGUUGUCCGGAAUCAUUGGGCGUAAAGAGCGCGUAGGUGGCUGCAUAAGUCCGUUGUGAAAGUCAAAGGCUCAACCUUUGAAAGCCGAUGGAUACUGUGGAGCUAGAGUACGGAAGAGGCGAGUGGAAUUCCUGGUGUAGCGGUGGAAUGCGCAGAUAUCAGGAGGAACACCAAUAGCGAAGGCAGCUCGCUGGGACGUUUACUGACACUGAGGCGCGAAAGCGUGGGGAGCGAACGGG
rnacentral:rRNA from 1 species